rnacentral:rRNA from 1 species
UACGAAGGGGGCUAGCGUUGUUCGGAAUCACUGGGCGUAAGCGCACGCAGGCGGAUCGUUAAGUCAGGGGUGAAAUGCCGAGGCUCAACCUCGGAACUGCCUUUGAUACUGGCGAUCUUAGAGUCCGGGAGAGGUGAGUGGAACUCCGAGUGUAGAGGUGAAAUUCGUAGAUAUUCGGAAGAACACCAGUGGCGAAGGCGGCUCACUGGCCCGGUACUGACGCUCAGGUGCGAAAGCGGUGGGAGCAAACAGG